AGAAGGGAGUAGAAAAGGAGUACUACUUCCGGACGAUAGCAAAAUAAAAGCGUUUCCAGGACCAGGGUAGUUGCUGUGUUGUGCCAAAAAGUGAUCCUCUGCCUAGAACCGAUCAGCAGCCACAUCCACAGACUGAACAUAAUCCUCGAAGGCAGUGAUGGCUUCCUCCAGCAGAUCCGUACCCACUUCAUCAUCCUCCACAACUCAUCCUAUCUGAAGCUUCUUGAUGCUCUGUGCAUUGGAUUACACCCAAUCUGGCUGUUUUCAUCAACUGAAAUUGCUUUAAAGGACCAAUUCAACUUCUAUGAUGGAGUUUUACCCCUGACAAAUGACUCAAUUUAAUGACUCAAUUUAAUUCAUGAGGAUGAUAUUUUUCAGAUCAUAGCCCACAAGAUGAAUGCAAAGGAGACAUUUUAUGAUGAACUGUGGUUUAUAUGUAGUGUGGUUUGCCAUCGGUUGAUUGGAAUGAUCAGAGAUUUUGUACUAAUAUAACAGUCAUGUCACUGGUAGUCUGAGUGAGAAGGCCUGAUUUAGAUUGAAUAGUUUAACCUGCAUUCCACAUAACUGGGUGCCCUUUAUUCCUAUGGCCGUACACUGAUGUGUAGGGUUAGGGUUAGAAUUUUUGGUCCCUUAAAAAAGUGGAGGGCACAUAUAAAAUGUGUUGUAAUUCCUACACUGUUCACCUGAUUUUAAUGUGAAUACCCUCAAAUUAAAGCUGAAAGUCUGCACUUUAA